UAGAUUCUGAUUUUAAUUUGCUGAUUUUUCCGUUUUUCAGCAAAAAAUUGUGUUGAAAUUGAACAUGGAGGAUGCUAAAUCUAGAGCUAAAGCUCUCAAGACUGCUGUAAGAAUUCAUGGUGUUGUAUCAGUAACGCUGGAGAAUGACCUUCUGAUCAUGAAUGGUGACCAGGUUGACCUGGUGGCACUUUCUAAGACAAUGCGAAGAAAUUUUGGUUGGGUGGAGCUCAUCAGUAUUUCCGAGAUGGUGGAUUAAUCAUUGCUCAGAGUAAGCCUUGAAUCGGAGGCGCUGGACGAACGAAUUAUCUUUUGUCAUAUGAAGAAGACAUUGAAUAUUUGAGGAAAAGAAGAAGAAUGGAAGAAGGAAAAGCAAGUGUUUACUGAGGCAGAAGAGGAUGAUGAUUUAUAUUUAUAUUUUUUUUAUAUUGUUUGAUAUGAAACUUAUUGAACUAUGACAUCUGUAUAUUUAUGGAUAUGAUGAGUUUGUAAGCAUAUGUGAUGAGUUUGUAAGCAUAUGACUUGUAUGAUUAUAUUUGUUUUGAUUUGUUUUUUAGGAUUUCAUUUUGGAUA